ACCAGGCUGUUGUCUCCGCGACGGUCUGAAAGAGAAGCUGCAGACCGCGUUUUGGUUCUCCCGUCCCGAUCUGUAUACAAAUUGGUUCUACAGGAUUUCUGGAUCCAACGUGCCAAAUGUGGUCGGUAUGAGCGCAUUUCAAUUGUCCUGUAGCAUCAGUGUCGCCAUUAUUGGAAAGUUUGCCCAUAUGAUCGAUCACCUCUGUCUCAGAGUGGAGCUCAUACAGAAGAAAGAGGGCUGCUUCUUCCAAUUGAUAAAUUCCGUGUACGAUUAAAAAGGUAAAAGGAGAAAAAAAAAUCAAAACCUGUUUUUUUUUUUGAAAUCAUACUGAUUGUUUGGACAAUCGUGCCAUUGAUUCUCCAUCACUGCAUGAUUUGUUGCCGUAGGAAUCACUGUCAAUGGAAAUAGUAUCUUGCUUUAUCAUUGCAGAUGCUGAUUUUGCUUUCUUAACACAUCCUUUAUCCUUUUCGCCUUUUGCCCUUUGAUCAAAGGCCGACCAUUUUUUGUUUUCGAAACUCCAAGAGAGUGAAGAGCUCGUGUUUGGACGGUUACAUUGAGGAUUGCUUUUUGCAUCCUUUUGACUAAUCCAUUAAGCAAGUAAGAGGUACGUAAGCUUUGAAUUUGCAAGAAUUGUAUCCAUCCAUUUCUUUUUCUUUUGUGAUUUUGAUAUUGUUGUUAACUUUUGGAUUGAUUGGUGCCAAAAUUUGUGAUGCCAGUUAGGCACGUAAGUUGUCUCUUUUCUUCUGGCUUUUUUCCACAUCUUUUGUUGUUUUCCCCCACUGCCCAAAGAAAAGGCUCAUAGUCUUUCUUUAUAUUUGCCAAUCCACCAUUCUUGCGAUGUUUUCGCAGAACUCGUGUGUGGUGCAAGAAUAUAAGGGCAUUUUGGUCAUAUGUAAAUCGUUUAACCUGGAAUUCCUACUAUAUUUUGACCUAUAUAUUGCUUUGGUCAUUGUGUCAACGGCCAGAAAAAACGUUUCUGAUACCGUAUGGAAUAAUGGUUUCCUGUACAAUCGUUAAUCGAGGUUAAA